CGGGUGAUGCCCCGGAAGCCCGGGCGGGCCGUCGCUGCGUCACGCUGCUCGCCCGCGGGCGCCCGCCCUUGCGCGCACGUCUUGGCGCCGGGUUGCCAGCGGUGUCCGGCUAGCAGGGACCGCCGCGGGGGGUGCAACCGUCGUCCUGAGCCGUCCGCCGCGUCCCGGGUGAGCGGGCAUGCAUGGCUUCGUCCUUGGGGAGAGCGUCGCGCUCCGGCAGGAUCGACCGGAUGA
rnacentral:rRNA from 1 species